UACGAAGGGGGCAAGCGUUGUUCGGAAUUACUGGGCGUAAAGGGCGCGUAGGCGGCUUAUCAAGUCAGGCGUGAAAUUCCCGGGCUCAACCUGGGGGCUGCGCUUGAUACUGAUUGGCUUGAAUGCGGGAGAGGAUAGUGGAAUUCCCAGUGUAGAGGUGAAAUUCGUAGAUAUUCGGAAGAACACCAGUGGCGAAGGCGACUAACUGGACAUGUAUUGACGCUGAGGUGCGAAAGCGUGGGGAGCAAACAGG
rnacentral:rRNA from 1 species